ACGCUCGACACCUACGGGAGGCAGCAGUCGGGAAUAUUGCGCAAUGGAGGAAACUCUGACGCAGUGACGCCGCGUGCAGGAAGAAGGUUUUCGGAUUGUAAACUGCUUUAGACAGGGAAGAACAAAUGACAGUACCUGUAGAAUAAGCUCCGGCUAACUACGUGCUAGCAGCCGCGGUAAUCUGAGCGGGCUGGCAAGGC
rnacentral:rRNA from 1 species